CCGGGCCGAAGUCCGGUGGAUGAAGGGCGGAAGUAGAGUGUCUAAUCCUGCAGUCAUGGCGCAGGAAGAGGAAGAUGUUAGAGAUUACAAUUUGACUGAAGAACAGAAGGCGAUCAAGGCCAAGUAUCCGCCAGUCAAUAGGAAGUACGAGAUUUGGAUCAUACAGCAGAUGUCCGUUACACGCAUGGGGAGAUACUCUGGAG
rnacentral:lncRNA from 1 species